GCUUGUCUCAAAGAUUAAGCCAUGCAUGUCUAAGCAUAAACUAAACUAAAGUGAAGCCGCGAAUAGCUCAUUACAACAGCCGUUGUUUCUUGGAUCUCCGAUUUACUUGGAUAACUGUGGUAAUUCUAGAGCUAAUACACGCAAUCGAGCUCCGACCUUACGGGACGAGCGCAUUUAUUAGAUCAAAACCAAUCAGUGCUUGCACUGUAGUAUGGUGAAUCUGAAUAACUGAGCAGAUCGCUUCGGUCUUGUACCGGCGACGUAUCCUUCAAGUGUCUGCCUUAUCAACUUUCGAUGGUAGUUUAUGUGCCUACCAUGGUUGUAACGGGUAACGGAGAAUUAGGGUUCGACUCCGGAGAGGGAGCCUGAGAAACGGCUACCACUUCCAAGGAAGGCAGCAAGCA
rnacentral:rRNA from 1 species